AUUGAACGCUAGCGGCAGGCCUCACACAUGCAAGUCGAACGAGUGGCGGACGGGUGAGUAAUGUCUGGGAAACUGCCUGAUGGAGGGGGAUAACUACUGGAAACGGUAGCUAAUACCGCAUACCAUCAGAUGUGCCCAGAUGGGAUUAGCUUGUUGGGGGGGUAACGGGUCACAAAGGCGACGAUCCCUAGCUGGUCUGAGAGGAUGACCAGCCACACUGGAACUGAGACACGGGCCAGACUCCUACGGGAGGCAGCAGUGGGGAAUAUUGCACAAUGGGCGCAAGCCUGAUGGAGCCAGGCCGCGUGUAUGAAGAAGGCCGUCGGGUUUUAAAGUACUUUCAGCGGGGAGGCGUUACCCUCAGAAGAAGCACCGGCUAACUCCGUGCCAGCAGCCGCGGUAAUAC
rnacentral:rRNA from 1 species